AAUGUUCCGGGCGGCGAGCUGGGCGGGUCGUGUCUUAAAUUGUCUGGGUUCUUUUUUGUUGUCUGAUAUUGUUGCUAGGUCAGUAGAUCAGUUCUCCCAGGAGUCUGUCAGUGAGUGUGAGGAGGGAGCCAGUGGGCUUCAGAGGAUCUGGGUGGCGCGAUUUGUGGCCCCCUCAGAGGAAGGUUUUCGAGGACUACCAGGGUGAAAUAUGAGUGCACAAGUAAGAUCAAGAUCUCGAGAAAGGGGAAAUGGUCAAGAGUCUUCCAAUCUGGUUGAACCUGUGCUUGCCCAGCAAGCAGGUGACAAAAAUUCUCAACAAGAGAAACCACCAGCUGAGAAUCCAGAUAUUGAACUUGGACAGGAGAGAGAAGAAGGAGGAGCACCUGCAGUUCAAGAUGGUGGACAAAUAACAAGUUAAAAAGAAGACAAGCUGAAGCCACACAUGCUGUUAGUUAUAUUGAUAAUUUGACAUGUUAAAUUCUUUCAAUAAGGUUUUACAGUUUUCUCAGAAGUCAUACACAUCUUUUGUUAAGUCUGUUCCUAGCUUGAUACUAUUGUAAAUGGUUAUCUUAAAAAACUCUUCAUGUUCUGUUUAGAGCUGGAGGGAAGGGUCAGGUCGAGGGGUGAUGUCAGCUGCUAACCAAGGAGAACUCUGCUAGGGUAAAAUCAGGCAGCAAAGCCCCACAAGCUGGGCAGUAGGUACUGGGCCAAGGUCAGCCAUCCCCAGGACUCGGGGACCAGACUCUUCCUAGAACACACUCCCUCAUCCUCGAGCACUGGCUGGCCUCUACUUCUGAGCCAGGUCCUGAAGCCUGCCCUGGGCAGCACUCCCUCCCGGGGACCAGCACUUGGGGCUACUUCCCGACAUGCCCCAGUGUGCCCAAGACCCGAGCCACUUGUUCUGGGCUCCCUCCUCUUGGGCUCCGUGGUGCGGCUGCCCACUGCCAGCAGCUCUCAGCACAGGGGCUUCCAGAGGUCCUCAGACCCACGCCCGCCCGUUCCCUCCACUGGCAGCCCCACGACCGAAGCUGCUUCCCUCCCAGUCCCACCUGCCGCCCGACCCGGGCCUCUGCUAGGGCUUCAGGGGCUUGAGGCGGUGUCCU
ensembl:lncRNA